CCAGCAAGAGGAAGAAAAUAGGGAAAGGGGGGAUUGAACUUGACCAAGUUUCUUCAAGACUCAAGUUAGUUUUAGGCUUUUUAACUUUUCUUGUGCUUUUAUUAUUUUGAGUUUACAAAAAGGUCACUUUCCUCCUUCAUCUCCUCCUAAUAUCCUCAUCUCUAUACAUCUUCAAAUUCAAUCGAAAUUGAAACGAUUAGAAACCGAAUAAAUAGAGGCAGUGUUACCAAUUCGGCUUAGUCACAGGCUAAAAC
rnacentral:lncRNA from 1 species